rnacentral:rRNA from 1 species
GAUGAACGCUGGCGGCGUGCCUAAUACAUGCAAGUCGAGCGAACGGACGAGAAGCUUGCUUCUCUGAUGUUAGCGGCGGACGGGUGAGUAACACGUGGAUAACCUACCUAUAAGACUGGGAUAACUUCGGGAAACCGGAGCUAAUACCGGAUAAUAUUUUGAACCGCAUGGUUCAAAAGUGAAAGACGGUCUUACUGUCACUUAUAGAUGGAUCCGCGCUGCAUUAGCUAGUUGGUAAGGUAACGGCUUACCAAGGCAACGAUGCAUAGCCGACCUGAGAGGGUGAUCGGCGACACUGGAACGGAGACACGGUCCAGACUCCUACGGGAGGCAGCAGUAGGGAAUCUUCCGCAAUGGGCGAAAGCCUGACGGAGCAACGCCGCGUGAGUGAUGAAGGUCUUCGGAUCGUAAAACUCUGUUAUUAGGGAAGAACAUAUGUGUAAGUAACUGUGCACAUCUUGACGGUACCUAAUCAGAAAGCCACGGCUAACUACGUG